rnacentral:rRNA from 1 species
UAAUACGAAGGGCCCGAGCGUUAUUCGGAAUCACUGGGCUUAAAGCGUACGUAGGCUGGUAUAUAGGCAUUUUGUGAAAUCCCUCGGCUCAACCGAGGAACUGCAGAGUGAACCAUAUACCUUGAGACAGACAGAGGUCGUUGGAACGAUUGGUGGAGUGGUGAAUGCGUUGAUAUCAAUCGGAACGCCAAUGGAGAAGUCAAGCGACUGGGUCUGUUCUGACGCUGAGGUACGAAAGCGUGGGUAGCGAACGGGAUUAGAUACCCCGGUAGUCCACGCCGUAAACGAUGUGCACUAGGUCGAGGGCGUUCUGACGCGACUCUCGGCCGAAGCGAAAGUGUUAAGUGCACCGCCUGGGGAGUACGGUCGCAAGGCUA